GACAGACCUAGCAAAAUUAUUUGCUUGAGAAAUUGCUCUUUGCUAAAAAGCUAUUUUCAUAUUUUUUACAAUUUUAAUUGAAAACAAUCACAGUAAGGUUUUUUUUUUACUGUUACCAGAAAUAAUUGUUACCCCGAAAUAAUUUGAUAAAUAGAUUAAAACAAUGUCUUCAUUGGACCUUUAAAGAUAAUUUCCUGCGAUUCUUCAUAUUCUGUCCUGGAGCUGAGAUUUUAAUAUUUUUUUCAGUUUCAAAGCUAAUUUCCUUCAAUUCUAUUCAUUUUGCCAUGGCUAUGGCUAAUGCUGUGUUAUUUUGCUCAUACAUAGUAACACAAUCCAUACUGGUAAAUUCAUUUUUUUUGGAGUUGUUUUGUUUUACUCUAGUGUCAAAAUUGACGACAAAGUGUAGAUGGGAUCCUUUUGGUCAUGAAGUCAGUCUUGUCCAAAAUUUGAUUUGGAAGUGAGUGCGUCAAGACGGGUAUGGGUUUCUUACAUGCCCACUUUUGCCAAUGAUGUCCAAUUGCCCACACACACUUGCUCGGCAUAGGAGUGAAGAUGGGCUUCCUUAAAGUUGGUGCAAACUUCUAAUGCAUUCAGCAACAUUGCGUAAGAUGGCAAGGAAUGGACUACAUACAACAAACGUACGACAUCAUGGCUGUGACUGGUGUGUGGUGAGUAGCUAGCUAUGAUACUGUGAUGUAACUCGUUAAAUACAUAGCCUCUCCCUAAUGUGAUAUAAUGUCAUAGACAGGAAGAUUUGCAUAGCUAACGUUGCACCUGACGAGAAGGUUUGAUAGGAUGUAACUGUAGGUACGUUGUUAACGUUUCCACUCGAACUGGCGAGCUAAGAAGAUCUCCAGUAGCUAAAGGUAGGUAGCUAGCCAAUUCAUUUCAACUAGGACAAAAAUAUUGAUAACUCACCCAGAUUUGCAUGUUAGGUAGCUAGCUACUUUAUGAGAACAGGCCUGUUGUUUGGGUUAGCUCUUGAAAACAGGCCCUGGCGGCAUUCUGCCUUUUAGUGAUCAAGGGCUAGGUUAUUUAGCACUAGCUAGCUAGCAUUCGGGGGCUUCAUCUGCUACUAGUGCUAAAACAACACGCCUGUUCUCGUGAAAGUCUGUUGUGUAUUUUCUAGCGCAAAAAUAAAUGAAAGAUGGCACUUGUCUAUACCGAGUACCAGUCUUUUAAGCUAGCAUGCUACAAAUACGUGUCAGUGAGCAUUCAGCAAUGUAUCGUUACACCGCUCGUUGCAUAGUACCAGUGUCAUGCAACGUCACUGGCCUGAAUCUGUGUUGUACUUAGUCACUCUAUUAGUAUAAUUACUUCCAGACUACAGAUGUUUUUGUUGUUGCUAUAUAUUUAUUGGGUGAUGAUAUUUUAUUUCAUUCGCGGGCAACUUACAAAACUGGUGGAUUUGUUGAUCAGCGGUUUUGUGGGAUGCCCCGUACUAUAGGAGGAGCAGACAGCUGAGUCAGUACGCGCCCAGGCCCCAGUCCCACUUCAGGUGGAGAACAGGAGAGAUGGUUUGUCACGGAGUCCCCCUGACUAAAAGACAGGUGGAUGCAGACGUUUGAAAUGGGAGAGACCUUGAACUCAGCGUUAAAAUUAUACGAAACACAUCUAUUACUUUUCGGUUUUUGGUUAUUAUUGAAUGGAAUGGUAGUCGGGGACAUUGUGUAUUCUUCAAACGUGUCCGGAGACUGUCUUAUAUGGGACACCGUACGAAGGGAUGACGACUAACAUGUACCACCAGACAAAAUGCUGAUUGGUACAGUACCUGUAUCGGCUGUGAAUGACAGAAGAUGAAAGACGUGUAAUAUUUGUACCUUGUUAUAUUAGCAAAACACUGCUUCUAUAGUAUUUUUGUGAAGGAUUGUUUAUUCUACAUGGAACUAUUACACUUGAAAGACAUCAAAACCCUUUGUUUCGAAUAUCUACAUCAGUUGGCAUUCUUCUCAUAUUACUCUGUAAGCUACUGAUUGAGUCAAUGCUUCUUCCUGGAGGAAGCUUGCUCAGUAGCUACAGAGUGGUAUGAGAAGAGUGCCGUCUUCCUGCAUCUCACAUCUGCCUGUACUUAUUGAACUCUGGACCCAUGGGUUUUUAUUCAUUUAUUCUCUUCUGUAUUUCACCUUUACGUAACCAGGUAGGCCAGUUGAGAACACGCUCUCAUUUACAACUGCGACCUGGCCAAGAUAAAGCAAAGCAUUGCGACAAAACAACACAGAGUUACACAAACAACAGUCAAAAACACAAUAGAAAAAUCUAUGUACAGUGUGUGCAAAUGUAGCGAGGUAAGGUAAUAAAUAGGCCGUGGAGGUGAAAUAAUAACAAUUUAGCAUUAACACUGGAAUGACAGAUGUGCAGAUGAUGUACAAGUAGAGAAUAGAUACUGGGGUGCAAAAGAGCAAGAGGAUGUUACAGGAAUUAAAUUCCUCUAUGUUUUAAUACUCAAUCAAAAUUAAACACUGUCAAUUCAUAA